UACGUAGGGUGCAAGCGUUGUCCGGAAUUAUUGGGCGUAAAGAGCGCGCAGGCGGUUUGCCAAGUCAGAUGUGAAAGCCGCCGGCUUAACCGGCAAGGGUCAUUUGAAACUGACAGACUAGAGUGCAGCAGAGGAUAGCGGAAUUCCCGGUGUAGUGGUGAAAUGCGUAGAUAUCGGGAGGAACACCAGUGGCGAAGGCGGCUAUCUGGGCUGCAACUGACGCUGAGGCGCGAAGGCUAGGGUAGCAAACAGG
rnacentral:rRNA from 1 species